GAGGUGGAGGUAGAUGUGGAGGAAGAACAAGGAGAGUAAUCUCUGAUGAAAUUUGGGCGACUGUGGUGGACCAUGUGGUCAACCAUGGUUUGACCUUGAGAGAGGCUGGGCAGAGAGUCCUUCAUCGUAGCAUCCAUCAUCCGGAAGUUCCACAAUGAGAAGAGAACUGAAAGACGACCACCACGUGAUGGAAGAACGUGUUUAUUUACAGACAAACAGCAGGCUGCCAUUGUGCAAAUGGUAGUUGAAAAUAAUGCCAUAACAACAGAUUAUUGAAAACCCUGCCAUCUUCCAUAACAUCAGAGUGAGUUUAUCACCCAUAGCUCGCAUCCUUAAGAAACACCAUCUCCGGAUGAAGCAAAUCUACAGAGUCCCAUUUGAAAGAAAUUCCCAAAGAGCGAAGGAUAAACGGUACAAAUAUGUGCAAAGAAUCAUGGAGUUGGAUGCAAGUCCCAUCCCCCAGGAACUCACAUUCAUAGAUGAGGCUGGAUUCAAUUUAGCGAAGAUGAGGAGGAAUAGAGAGGAAGGAACAUCAUUGGUCAACGCGCCAUCGUGCCGGGAAAUGUCACCACAUGCGCAGAUAUGAGCCACAAUGGGGUCCUCCACCGCCAUGCCACUCUUGGACGAUACAACACUGCCCAUCUCCUUCAUUUCCUGAACACCUUACAUGACAAUCUUUUUCAGCCAGAGCAGAGAGGACCAGGUGAUCCUGAGCAGCAAAUGUAUGUUCUAAUUUGGGACAAUGUGAGUUUCCAUCAGGCUGCUCAGGUCCGCAACUGGUUCCGUGACCAUCCCAGG